rnacentral:rRNA from 1 species
UAUGCACGCUGGCGGCGUGCCUAAUACAUGCAAGUCGAGCGAACGGACGAGAAGCUUGCUUUUCUGAUGUUAGCGGCGGACGGGUGAGUAACACGUGGAUAACCUACCUAUAAGACUGGGAUAACUUCGGGAAACCGGAGCUAAUACCGGAUAAUAUUUUGAACCGCAUGGUUCAAAAGUGAAAGACGGUCUUGCUGUCACUUAUAGAUGGAUCCGCGCUGCAUUAGCUAGUUGGUAAGGUAACGGCUUACCAAGGCAACGAUGCAUAGCCGACCUGAGAGGGUGAUCAGCCACACUGGAACUGAGACACGGUCCAGACCCCUACGGGAGGCAGCAGUAGGGAAUCUUCCGCAAUGGGCGAAAGCCUGACGGAGCAACGCCGCGUGAGUGAUGAAGGUCUUCGGAUCGUAAAACUCUGUUAUUAGGGAAGAACAUAUGUGUAAGUAACUGUGCACAUCUUGACGGUACCUAAUCAGAAAGCCACGGCUAACUACGUG